rnacentral:lncRNA from 1 species
AUGGGUGCUAUGGGGCGGGCGCUGCUGUGGGGUGGGCGCUGUAGGGUAGGUGCUAUGGGGUGGGUGCUGCUGUGGGGCCGGUGCCGCUUCCCAGCCCUCGCUGCCCCAUAGCGCCGUGGGGCUGAGGGGGGGUCGGCGUCCCUGGGGCGCUGUGUGGGGUGGGGGAAGUUGUGGGGCUGCGCUGUGUGCUGUGGGGCUGCCGUGCCUACAGGGUGUGUUGUACCCUAUAGGGCUGCUGUGCCCUAUGGGGCUGGUAGACCCUAUAGGGCUGUGUUGUAUCCUAUGGGGCCGUUAUGUCCUAUAAAGCUGUUGUACCCCAUAGGGCUGUUGUAUCCUAUAUGGCUGUUAAAUCCUAUAGGGCUGCUGUACAUUAUAAAGCUGUGUUGUAUCCUAUAGGGCCGUUAUGUCCUAUAAAGCUGUUGUACCCUAUAGGGCUGUUAUGCCCUAUAGAACUGCUGCACCCUAUGGGGCCGCGCGCUUUGGGGCCGUGCCACCCCCUGUGGGGCCGCUCUGUGCCCUAUGGGGCUGUGCCAAAAUCAGUGGGGCUGUGCUCUAUAGGGCCGCACUGCCGCGUAUGGGGCCGUGUCAACAUAUGGGGCUGCAUGUUAUGGGGCCGUGCCCUGGGGUGCUGUGCCAUACCCAUGGUCUGUGGGGCCGUGCCACACUCUAUAGGGCCGUGCUGCACUCUAUAGGGCCGUGCCCUAUGGUGCCGUGCCGUACGCUAUGGGGCUGUGCCAUAUCCUAUGGGGUCGUGCCGUCUGGGGCCAUGCCGUACGCCAUGGGGUCACGCUUAUGGGACCGUGCAUAUAGGGCCGUGCUGUACUCUAUGGGGCUGUGUGCUGUGCGAUAUCCUAUGGGGCCGUGCGCUAUGGGGCUGUGCCAUAUGGGGCCAUGCCGUGCUCUAUGGGGCCGUGCCAUAUGCUAUGGGGCCGUGCCUUAUCCUAUGGGGCUGUGCCAUGCCCUAUGGGGCCGUGCCCUAUGGGGCUGUGAGUUAUGGGGCUGUGCCAUAUCCUAUGGGGCCGUGCCCUAUGGGGCCGUGUCAUACUCUAUGGGGCAGUGUGCUAUGGGGCCGUGCAAACCCUAUAGGGUGGUGCCGCACCCUAUGGGCAGUGCUGUCGUUAUGGGGCAACAUCACACCCUAUGGGGCUGUGCCAUCUCUGUAGGGCCAUGCUGUCCCUAUGGGGCCGUACCACACCCUAUGGGGCCGUGCCGCACCCUAUGGGGCCGCGGUGCGGAGGCGGCCGUGGGGCUGCGGUCGCUCCGCCCCAUAGCGCGGGCAGCGCCACGUGGCCCCAAUGGCCCCAGUGCCCCCCCAUCCCUGUGCCCUCAUCCCAGUUCCUCCCAGUGCCCCCCCAUCCCGCUGCCCCCCCCAUCCCAGUGCCGCCCCGCCCCAUUUUUCCUCCCAAUUCCCAGUGCCCCCCCAUCCC